ensembl:lncRNA
AAAAAGGACCUAGCCCGCCUACUGUCCCACUAUUUUCCCACUGAUGUUCAAAUACCUUUCCGCUAACAAGAUAAUGCGUUUAUUCAGAGGACCUCUGCAGGAGAAAGUGGAAGAGCCUCAGGGACACAUAUAAUAAGGAGAAGAGGACAGAGAAGGAGAAGAGGAGUGGGUCUGCAGCAGGAUUGGGGAAGAGAUGGAAGUUCUUCGCGGUAAUGGGGUUUCUGGACCCCUUCCUCACCCCGCGGGAGACAAGCAGCAAUAUGGUGCGGACCGUGGAGAACUUCCCCCCCGAGGACCAGGGACAGCCCGGAGAGGCAGCAGGGGAGUGUCAGUCAGAAGAGUCAACUGAUGCUGCAGCAGAGCAUCCCCUGUUGCUUCUCCUGGCUCCCCAGUCCCUGAGCUCCUGCUGCUGCACCCACAGGCCCACAGAGGAGGACGGCUCAAAGGCGGUCGAGGCACGGGUCCCAGGAUGGUCCAUAGGCAGUGGAGCUGGCCAUCCUGGAGUCCCUGAAGUGGCCACGCCAGUCUCCAACGGAGCAUUUCCUCCUCAGCCUUGUUCCUGCUCUGGAGAGCAUGCCGCCUCAGACACGAGAAUUCAUGAAAUUUCAAAUGUAUAAAUUAGUUUGUGGAAACAGCACAGCUGUGUUAAAUUUGGAAAC